UUUUUUUUUUUUUAAUGUUUGCCAGAUAUCUGACCACAGUGGAACCACAUUUCUACAGGGAAACAAUUAUCUGGUGCUGAGUAGCAUUGGGUACAGUGUAUGAGAAGACUGCUGCAGAUGGACUUGGGACAGAGAGAAGGGAACCCUGUUCCAGGGUCACUAGACAGACAUUUCAUCCUGAAUUUCAAGGUGAUGACAAUGGAUUGAGAAAUGACUUUUCAACUAGAGUGGAAGUUUUCCUGAAUUUUGCAAGACAUCACAUUGCCAACAAAGGUCCAUAUGGUCAAGGCUAUGGUUUUCCAGUAGAAUGCGAGAGUUGGA